UGGGGAAUAUUGGACAAUGGGGGAAACCCUGAUCCAGCAAUGCCGCGUGAGUGAAGAAGGCCUUAGGGUUGUAAAGCUCUUUCACCCGCGAAGAUAAUAACGGUAGCGGGAGAAGAAGCCCCGGCUAACUCCGUGCCAGCAGCCGCGGUAAUACGGAGGGGGCUAGCGUUGUUCGGAAUUACUGGGCGUAAAGCGCACGUAGGCGGAUGCGCAAGUUGGGGGUGAAGUCCCGGGGCUUAACCUCGGAAUUGCCCUCAAAACUGCACGUCUUGAGACCGAGAGAGGUAAGGGGAAUUCCUAGUGUAGAGGUGAAAUUCGUAGAUAUUAGGAAGAACACCAGUGGCGAAGGCGCCUUACUGACUCGGUACUGACGCUGAGGUACGAAAGCGUGGGGAGCAAACA
rnacentral:rRNA from 1 species